UACAUGCAAGUCGAACGUGAAGCUGACUUCGGUCAGUGGAAAGUGGCGGACGGGUGAGUAAUACAUAGGAAAUCUGCCCUUAGGAAGGGGAUAACAGUCGGAAACGAUUGCUAGUACCCUAUAUGAGCUUGGUUGCAAUACCAAUCUUGAAAACUCCGGUGCCUAAGGAUGAGCCUGUGCCUGAUUAGCUUGUUGGUGGUGUAAUGGACCACCAAGGCGACGAUCAGUAGCUGGUUUGAGAGGAUGAUCAGCCACAAUGGAACUGAGACACGGUCCAUACUCCUACGGGAGGCAGCAGUAGGGAAUUUUUGGGCAAUGGGCGAAAGCCUGAACCCCAGCAACGCCGCGUGUGUGAUGAAGCCCCUAGGGGUGUAAAACACUGUCAGUAGGGAAGAAACUUGACUGUACCUACAGAGGAAGCACCGGCUAACUCCGUGCCAGCCGCAGC
rnacentral:rRNA from 1 species